rnacentral:rRNA from 1 species
UCCGUAGGCGGGCGUCUAAGUCAGUGGUGAAAUCUUACAGCUCAACUGUAAAAUUGCCAUUGAUACUGGAUGUCUUGAAUUAGUGUGAAGUGGUUAGAAUGUGUAGUGUAGCGGUGAAAUGCAUAGAUAUUACACAGAAUACCAAUUGCGAAGGCAGAUCACUAACACUAUAUUGACGCUGAGGGACGAAAGCGUGGGGAGCGAACAGGAUUAGAUACCUGGUAGUC